CUUGCGCAGUCACAGACAACCCAAGAGACCUUCUUUCGUAAUGGCUGAAUAUUUAGAUGGGAGCUGAACUUGAACCCUAGUAAUGUUCUGCUCAGGACAGAGGUCAUGCCUGGAAAUAGCAUGGAUGUGAGCUCUGCUACCAGCCAGGAGGUGUCCAGGGCAAAUUCAGGACCGGGCUGGCGCCUGUGUCUUUUGCUGGAGGCAAAGCCAUUUGGUUGGCACUUCGCAGGAGGAUCUCUGCACCAGGUCUUCAUCGUAAGGAGGCAUCCUGUGCUAUGGGUGUCUGCACUAGAGUCAAAGGAGAGCCCAGUGGGGAACGACAAAGUACGUCACACGGAACAGUGAGCUGGACAUGGGGUGUAAGCUGGAGUCUGACAUGGGAUGCUGAGAAAAAUGACAGUGAUGACAGAGACGGACAUACAGGCCUUCCAUGAACGCGGUGCCAGAUCUGACGUGUGACAACCAUUAUUACCCGCCACAGCGACUUCAUGAAGAAGAUCAUGUGCGAAGUAAACACCUUCCCAGGUGGGAAACGGCAGGUCUGUGAUCUGAAACAAGCCCAUACUCCUAACGCUUACCAACGCUGCAGGAGCGACAUCUAGAGUGAAGCAACAGAAAUGCCUCCUCUCGGCUUUGGUUUGGGACUGGAGUGAGGAGUUGGCCUCCUGUUUCAUGCCUCAGGAGCCAUUUUACCCUUCUAAGAAUAAAUUCUGUGUGGGAUCCUGACAAACCCUAAUUUCUCACUUCUGAACUAAUGAGUCCUAGACUUAGGGCUGAGGUACACGCGGCGAAGUGACAGCCUGGUAAGGCUGCAGACAGACAUGUGCCAUCAUCAGUAGUAGGAAAACCUGUGAGCACACAGAGAGUUUGGACGUGCGGCCCAGGAUCUCCCAUCUUCCGCAUGGCUGCUUUUUGUUUAUUAACUGCACAUUGUGUUGCUAAUCGCAUUUUCCAUGUUCAUUUGGUGUCGGGGAAGCUGUGGC